UAUCACUCUAACACAUUUGUAAGGCGUGUUUUCUAUUUGCACCUGUCUGAUGUACAGGUAAUUUUUCAGGGCGUUCUAUAUUAUGAUCUUGAUGGAGAUGCGAUCUUGACUGAGUUGGAUUAAGAGAAUGUGUGUGACGAGUUAAAGGAUGUGUGUAAAAGUAAGGUGUAAAAAGUGCCAAAAAAUGACAUGGUCAGGUUGUGGACGUCACAUAGAAGUUGUCUUAGAAGAUGUACCAGUACAUGAAAGAUGUUCUUGUCCAAAGAAAAAGCCAUGUGCAAUAUCGUGACAGAGGCUAAAACUGUGAAGAUGAUGUAAAUAUUGAGAAGAGUAAUGUGAAUCUCAGAACAUGCAGCAUUUUAGAUUUAGUCAAGACAUUAAUAUUUGGUGCAUUUUCUUUUUAUGUGAUUACGAUGUGUAAUACUGUUAUUUUUAGUUUAUGUUUAAAUUAUUUUAUUUGUUAUAGAUAAUUCUAUGCUACAGAGUAAACAUGCUUUUUUUCACUAUUGACAAUUUGAAUGUUGUAAGUUAAAUAAAUUUGUGAAAAUGACAUAGAUGAAAUUAAAUGUAUUCAAAAAUGAUUUUCUUAUUUGGUAUACAGAUAGAGAAUUUUGAAAAUUUGGCAAUUAUAGAUCAAUGUCACCUACAAUAAUUGAUCCACUUUUUUAUAAAUUAACAGCAUCAAAUAAUUCCUUGAUUGAAUGAUAAAACAAAAUUUUACUUUGUUCGAGAAUGUAAAAUAUAUAAACACUAUUGUGAAAAUCCUUCCAGAUUUCAAAUACUCUUUACAUGAUAUUUUAUAUUUUACAUCAAUGCAUGUGUAUAGUGUACUUUUUACAUCUGUGUUCAUAUUUUAAAUAGCUUGAAUCAGUUUUACUCAAGCUUGUGCUUUAUUAAGAUUCUAUUGAGGGCUUUUAAAGAAAAAAUGUAUGAGAGGGAUGGACACAAUUUUUGACAAAAAAAUAAAUUCUUUUGGUCAUUGAAGUGGAUGCAAAAAAACAAUCUGUAAUAUUAAAAUGAAAAUAAAUAAGACUGAUGGUUACGGUAGUGUUUUUAAAAUGUUUUGUAAAACCGCAUACAUUUUUUCUGUAAUAUCCUAGUUUUUUUUAUCAUAAAUAAAGCUUGUAAUUAUCUGCAGAUACUUUUUUAAGCAACAUAAGAAAUUAUUUUGGUGUAAAUUGUUUUUCAUUUUUGUAAUACAUCGUUGAUACAUGUAUUUAAAUUGUAAGUAAAAUGUCAUGUACAUGAAUCUCACUGCAUCUCAGGGUGGCAACUCUUAAACUUUGUCAUAUGCAUGUUGUAUGUUUAUUAUAUUAGUUUCAUGUUUACUCUGAUGUAAUUUCCCAAGUGUUCAAUAAAGUGGGUCUCAUUGGGGACUUAUUGUCUAAGAGUGACACGGGAUUGCCGAUUUUUUGUAAGCAUGACACAUGAAAGUUAAAUUAUUGUGCCAUGAAAGUGGGAAAUGAAGUCUUGAGGGACACGUGUAUUACAAAACAAUAAGAAUUACUUACAUACAUUGUGCAUUGUGUAAGCGGGAUACAGGAAUCUGACAAAACGUUAAGCAGGAUCCGGGAUCAGAACUCCUCAAUGAGACCCCCAAUAAAUGUGUUGUCAAUAUUUAUUUCCUAAGAGAAAAUAACUCUAUAACUAAUAAAACCAUCAUAACAAAGAUCCACCAAAAUAUUUGCAAAAGAGGUUCUGUUUUCUGUUUUCAAAAGACAGUGUAUUACUACAUAAAAAGCAAACAUCUUUUUGUUAAUUCAAUGUAUGCAUUUUCAAAAGUUUAAUCAUAAUGUUAUGUUCAUAAGUAAUAUAUAUAUCAGUUUUAGGAAAAGUUAUGGACCAUACAUUUCACCAAAACCUACUAUAAAUGUGCAGGACUUCAUUGCAAAUUAAUUUGAACCAAUUUACAUUUUAUAGACUGUUAUUCUACAUAAUUGUAUUAAAUAUUGAAGGCUCUACAUGAUAAA